AGCUUUGCACAGCAGCAGUAUCGUAGCCAAUGAGGUUUAUCCGAGGCGGGAUUAUUGCUAAUUGAAAACUGUUUUUCUUUCGUGU
rnacentral:snRNA from 1 species